UAUAUAUAUGUAUGUAUGUAUAUAUAUGUGGUGGGAUGCUGAAAAGUUCCUGGUUUUAAGGGUAUCACAAAAGGCUUGGUUGGAGGCCCAACCUUCUGAGUUCUUUUACAGGGCUUAGGCAAAAUCGAAGGACUACUGCAAUAUGCGUGUGAAUCUGAAAGGGGAAUAUGUUGAAUAGAAUCAUAAUUAACUGAUUCUCCUGUAAUUUCUUUUACCCAAAGCCAGGAACUUUUCAG